AACGAACGCUGGCGGCAGGCCUAACACAUGCAAGUCGAGCGAGGACUUCGGUCCUAGCGGCGGACGGGUGAGUAACGCGUGGGAACGUGCCCUUUGCUUCGGAAUAGCCCUGGGAAACUGGGAGUAAUACCGGAUGAGCCCUUUGGGGGAAAGAUUUAUCGGCGAAGGAUCGGCCCGCGUUGGAUUAGGUAGUUGGUGGGGUAAUGGCCUACCAAGCCGACGAUCCAUAGCUGGUUUGAGAGGAUGAUCAGCCACACUGGGACUGAGACACGGCCCAGACUCCUACGGGAGGCAGCAGUGGGGAAUCUUAGACAAUGGGGGAGAUCCUGAUCUAGCCAUGCCGCGUGAGCGAUGAAGGCCUUAGGGUUGUAAAGCUCUUUCAGCUGGGAAGAUAAUGACGGUACCAGCAGAAGAAGCCCCGGCUAACUCCGCG
rnacentral:rRNA from 1 species